GGUGCUCUCCACAAUCAAUCAAUAUCAAUUGCUGGCGCAAAUCUACGAGCGAGCUAUGAAAUUUGCGAAUAACGACUCGUUUUUGUGGUAAAUUCGAGAUUUUCGAGAGUUUUUCGGCUGAAAAUCUGGCAACAUUUCCAGGCAACAAUUCGCUCUUUCUGCAAUCUGCUGUGGCCGGUUUUCCCGGGCGAUUCGGGUCUUCGAACAGUCCAUUCUCGCCUCCACAAUCGCCUCAGAAUCUCUGACGUCAUCAGCGUCGUCGACGUCAUCGAUUUCCUCGCAAAAUUCGACGUCAAAAGCUCAAAAUUUGCAUCAAAAUCGUCGGCCGAAAUCGCCGGAUUCGGCAAUGUUUUCAUCGCUAAAACUUACCAAUAACCCGUCCUGCGCACUUUCAGUCAUUUCCGAAUAUAUGAUGAUCUCACAGGUGUUAAUCGAGCGAUUCGGCAAUUAUGAGCCAG
rnacentral:sRNA from 1 species